rnacentral:lncRNA from 13 species
AUGUUUUUCAGCGUCAGGGACUGGGAGACUAGUCAGGAUCGAGGAAAGCUGAACGGAGCAAAGUACAGAGAGAUCCUUGGUGAAAACCUGCUCCAGAGCGCUCAUGACCUCAGACUGGGGCGAAGGUUCACCUUCCAGCAGAACANNNNNNNNNNUGGAACUAUUAAGCAGAUGGGUGGAACUAUUAAGCAGAUUGGUGGAACUAUUAAGCAGAUGGGUGGAACUAUUAAGCAGAUGGGUGGAACUAUUAGGCAGAUGGGUGGAACUAUUAGGCAGAAGGGUGGAACUAUUAGGCAGAUUGGUGGAACUAUUAAGCAGAUGGGUGGAACUAUUAAGCAGAUGGGUGGAACUAUUAGGCAGAUGGGUGGAACUAUUAGGCAGAAGGGUGGAACUAUUAGGCAGAUGGGUGGAACUAUUAGGCAGAAUGAUGGAGAUAAUAGGGUCAGUCCUGGAAUAAGGGGACCUACUGUAGGAAAUGUUGCUUAUGUUGGUCCAGAUACGGAUACGAGACCUCUUCAGAAAUCUUGCUCUCACAAAUGCUUCAAAGGACACCUUAAUAGUUUAUCAGAUUGACUUUAUACCCUUAAAUGGAAAGGUUAUCAACAUGACUGCGUUUGUAGAAAGAACUGCCAAGUUAAUUGUUAAUUGAAGAUAAUUGUGGAAGCAGCAACCAAGUUUUUAGGAGUAAAAGAUGUUACUGUCUUCAUGAUUGUUGAUAUGUUGACUCCUAAUAAUACUAAUGAUGGAAUGUCUUUUUGCUCCACAAAAGCCGCGGCUUUUGCAGAGCAAGGGGAACCACUACUUCAAGGUCUCAGAGCAAGUGACGUCACCGAUUGAAACGCUGUUUAGCGCGCAUCACCGCUAACUAGCUAGCUAUUUCACAUCCAUUACACUCACCCCCCUUUUGACCUCCUCCUGUUCCGCAGCAACCAGCGAUCCGGGUCACGGCACCAAUGUCACAGUAUAACUUUAGACCGUCCCCUCGCCCAUACCCGGGCGCGAACCAGGGACCCUCUGCACGCAUCAACAACAGUCACCCAUGAAGCAUCGUUACCCAUCGCUCCACAAAAGCCGCGGCUCUUGCAGAGCAAGGGGAACCACUACUUCAAGGUCUCAGAGCAAGUGACGUCACUGAUUGAAAUGCUAUUUAGCGCGCACCACCGCUAACUAGCUAGCUAUUUCACAUCCGUUAUACCUAUAAGAACAUCCAAUAGUCAAAGGUUAAUGAAAUACAAAUGGUAUAGAGGGAAAUAGUCCUAUAAUAACUACAACCUAAAACUUCUUACCUGGGAAUAUUGAAGACUCAUGUUAAAAGGAACCACCAGCUUUCAUAUGUUCUCAUGUUCUGAGCAAGGAACUGAAACAUUAGCUUUCUUACAUAACACAUAUUGCACUUUUACGUUCUUCUCCAACACUUUGUUUUUGCAUUAUUUAAACCAAAUUGAACCUGUUUCAUUAUCUACUUGAGACUAAAUGGAUUUAAUUGAUGUAUUAUAUUAAGUUAAAAUAAGUGUUAAUUCAGUAUUGUUGUAAUUGUCAUUAUUACAAAUAUAUAUAUUUUUAAUUGGCCGAUUAAUCGGUAUCGGCUUUUUUGGUCCUCCAAUAAUCGGUAUCGGUAUGGCGUUGAAAAAUCAUAAUCGGUCGACCUCUAGUUGAAAGGCUGUGAGGUUGAGCAUCCCACUGCUACUGUUCUAGAUUACUAUUGGGAAUAUACUAGUAGACAAGGCAGUGGUUUUGGUUGGACAGUUGGGAAGCUUGCUGAUGAGAAGGGUUUUAGGGAGUUGGAGGUUGGCCCUUCUGUGGUGAUAGGGGAUGUUCCUCCAUGGUUACUCCCAGAUCCUGUUGUUGAUCUAACCUUGGUAGAGAAAAGGAAAGAUUGAUCAGAUGUCAGUGAUAUAGAGAAACUGGUUGACAAUUACAUUGGUAGAAAUGUUUAUGCUUUUAUACUGCUUUUCACAGAUGGAUCCAAGGACCCGGAUAGUGGGC